rnacentral:rRNA from 1 species
GACGAACGCUGGCGGCGUGCUUAACACAUGCAAGUCGAACGAUGAAGAAGAGCUUGCUCUUCGGAUUAGUGGCGAACGGGUGAGUAACACGUGACUAACCUGCCCCUUUCUCUGGGAUAACGCUCCGAAAGGAGUGCUAAUACCGGAUACUCACAUCGAGGCACAUGCCUUGAUGUGGAAAGUUUUUCGGAAAGGGAUGGAGUCGCGGCCUAUCCGCUUGUUGGUGAGGUAACGGCCCACCAAGGCGACGACGGGUAGCCGGCCUGAGAGGGCGACCGGCCACACUGGGACUGAGACACGGCCCAGACUCCUACGGGAGGCAACAGUAGGGAAUAUUGCACAAUGGGCGAAAGCCUGAUGCAGCGACGCCGCGUGAGGGAUGAAGGUCUUCGGAUUGUAAACCUCUUUCAGUAGGGACGAAGCGAAAGUGACGGUACCUAAAGAAGAAGCACCGGCUAACUACGUGCCAGCAGCCGCGGUAA